CCUCUUACCUGGCAAGGAAGAAAACCUCAUGGUUUUCCCAGUGUUAGUUUUACCCAUUGCACUCCAGAUGUGUUGACCACUGUGAUUUCCCCAAAUGUGGGAACCUCCACUGCAUGAUUUGUGACAAUGGACUGCAUUUGUGCUUUUCCCUG
ensembl:snRNA U1 U1 spliceosomal RNA